UGCAGAGUGACGGGAGCAAUCCCGUUAAUGCGGUCCGGCAGACGGUCACAAACCCCGA
rnacentral:ribozyme from 1 species